rnacentral:piRNA from 1 species
AGGCCAACUGUGAAAUUUCUGUCAACG